rnacentral:rRNA from 1 species
GUGAGGAAUAUUGCGCAAUGGAGGCAACUCUGACGCAGCCAUGCCGCGUGCAGGAAGAAGGCGCUACGCGUUGUAAACUGCUUUUAACCGGGAAGAAACCCCAGGACGUGUCCUGGGUUGACGGUACCGGAGGAAUAAGCACCGGCUAACUUCGUGCCAGCAGCCGCGGUAAUACGAAGGGUGCAAGCGUUAUCCGGAUUCAUUGGGUUUAAAGGGUGCGUAGGCGGAGCGUUAAGUCAGUGGUGAAAUCCUGCAGCUUAACUGUAGACUUGCCAUUGAUACUGGCGCUCUUGAGUGCGCUUGAAGUGGGCGGAAUGUGCCGUGUAGCGGUGAAAUGCUUAGAUAUGGCACAGAACACCAAGUGCGAAGGCAGCUCACUAAGGCGAUACUGACGCUGAGGCACGAAAGCGUGGGGAUCGAACAGGAUUAGAUACCCGAGUAGUCC